CCUACGGGAGGCAGCAGUGAGGAAUAUUGGUCAAUGGACGAGAGUCUGAACCAGCCAAGUAGCGUGAAUGAUGACUGCCCUAUGGGUUGUAAACUUCUUUUAUAUGGGAAUAAAAUGUUCCACGUGUGGGAUUUUGUAUGUACCAUAUGAAUAAGGAUCGGCUAACCCCGUGCCAGCAGCCGCGGUAAUACGGAGGAUCCGAGCGUUAUCCGGAUUUAUUGGGUUUAAAGGGAGCGUAGGUGGAUUGUUAAGUCAGUUGUGAAAGUUUGCGGCUCAACCGUAAAAUUGCAGUUGAAACUGGCAGUCUUGAGUACAGUAGAGGUGGGCGGAAUUCGUGGUGUAGCGGUGAAAUGCUUAGAUAUCACGAAGAACUCCGAUUGCGAAGGCAGUUCACUGGACUGCAACUGACACUGAGGCUCGAAAGUGUGGGUAUCAAACAGGAUUAGAUACCCGAGUAGUC
rnacentral:rRNA from 1 species